rnacentral:rRNA from 1 species
AUGAACGCUGGCGGCGUGCCUAAUACAUGCAAGUCGAGCGAACAGACGAGGAGCUUGCUCCUCUGACGUUAGCGGCGGCCGGGUGAGUAACACGUGGAUAACCUACCUAUAAGACUGGGAUAACUUCGGGAAACCGGAGCUAAUACCGGAUAAUAUAUUGAACCGCCUGGUUCAAUAGUGAAAGACGGUUUUGCUGUCACCUAUAGCUGGAUCCGCGCCGCAUUAGCUAGUUGGUAAGGUAACGGCUUACCAAGGCGACGAUGCGUAGCCGACCUGAGAGGGUGAUCGGCCACACUGGAACUGAGACACGGUCCAGACUCCUACGGGAGGCAGCAGUAGGGAAUCUUCCGCAAUGGGCGAAAGCCUGACGGAGCAACGCCGCGUGAGUGAUGAAGGUCUUCGGAUCGUAAAACUCUGUUAUUAGGGAAGAACAAAUGUGUAAGUAACUAUGCACGUCUUGACGGUACCUAAUCAGAAAGCCACGGCUAACUACGUG